rnacentral:rRNA from 1 species
UACAGAGGGUGCGAGCGUUAAUCGGAAUUACUGGGCGUAAAGCGCGCGUAGGCGGCUUUGCAAGCCGGAUGUGAAAUCCCCGGGCUUAACCUGGGAACUGCAUUCGGGACUGCAUUGCUAGAGUAUGGGAGAGGGAAGUGGAAUUUCAGGUGUAGCGGUGAAAUGCGUAGAUAUCUGAAGGAACAUCAGUGGCGAAAGCGGCUUCCUGGACCAAUACUGACGCUCAUGUGCGAAAGCGUGGGGAGCAAACAGG